AGUCGAACGGUAACAGGAAGAAGCUUGCUUCUUUGCUGACGAGUGGCGGACGGGUGAGUAAUGUCUGGGAAACUGCCUGAUGGAGGGGGAUAACUACUGGAAACGGUAGCUAAUACCGCAUAACGUCGCAAGACCAAAGAGGGGGACCUUCGGGCCUCUUGCCAUCGGAUGUGCCCAGAUGGGAUUAGCUAGUAGGUGGGGUAACGGCUCACCUAGGCGACGAUCCCUAGCUGGUCUGAGAGGAUGACCAGCCACACUGGAACUGAGACACGGUCCAGACUCCUACGGGAGGCAGCAGUGGGGAAUAUUGCACAAUGGGCGCAAGCCUGAUGCAGCCAUGCCGCGUGUAUGAAGAAGGCCUUAGGGUUGUAAAGUACUUUCAGCGGGGAGGAAGGGAGUAAAGUUAAUACCUUUGCUCAUUGACGUUACCCGCAGAAGAAGCACCGGCUAACUCCGUGCCAGCAGCCGCGGUAAUACGGAGGGUGCAAGCGUUAAUCGGAAUUACUGGGCGUAAAGCGCACGCAGGCGGUUUGUUAAGUCAGAUGUGAAAUCCCCGGGCUCAACCUGGGAACUGCAUCUGAUACUGGCAAGCUUGAGUCUCGUAGAGGGGGGUAGAAUUCCAGGUGUAGCGGUGAAGUGCGUAGAGAUCUGGAGGAAUACCG
rnacentral:rRNA from 1 species